rnacentral:rRNA from 1 species
UACGUAGGUGGCAAGCGUUGUCCGGAUUUAUUGGGUUUAAAGGGUGCGUAGGCGGCUUUGUAAGUCAGUGGUGAAAUAUGGCAGCUCAACUGUCAGGGUGCCAUUGAUACUGCGGAGCUUGAGUACAGAUGAGGUAGGCGGAAUUGACGGUGUAGCGGUGAAAUGCUUAGAUAUCGUCAAGAACACCGAUAGCGAAGGCAGCUCACUGGGCUGUAACUGACGCUGAGGCACGAAAGUGUGGGGAUCAAAACAGG